GCUUGUCUCAAAGAUUAAGCCAUGCAUGUCUUAGUAUAAGCAACUUUGUACUGUGAAACUGCGAAUGGCUCAUUAAAUCAGUUAUAGUUUAUUUGAUGGUUUUUGCUACAUGGAUAACUGUGGUAAUUCUAGAGCUAAUACAUGCAUUCAAGCCCCGACUUCCGGAAGGGGUGUAUUUAUUAGAUAAAAAUCAACCUUGUUGGUGAAUCAUAAUAACUUCUCGGACCGCAUGGCCUCGUGCUGGCGGUGCUUCAUUCAAAUAUCUGCCCUAUCAACUGUCGAUGGUAGGAUAGAGGCCUACCAUGGUUGCAACGGGUAACGGGGAAUAAGGGUUCGAUUCCGGAGAGGGAGCCUGAGAAACGGCUACCACAUCCAAGGAAGGCAGCAGGCGCGCAAAUUACCCAAUCCCGACACGGGGAGGUAGUGACAAUAAAUACUGAUACAGGGCUCUUUUGGGUCUUGUAAUUGGAAUGAGUACAAUUUAAAUCCCUUAACGAGGAACAAUUGGAGGGCAAGUCUGGUGCCAGCAGCCAA
rnacentral:rRNA from 1 species